AUCGAUGAAGAACGCAGCGAAAUGCGAUAAGUAAUGUGAAUUGCAGAAUUCAGUGAAUCAUCGAAUCUUUGAACGCACCUUGCGCCCUUUGGUAUUCCGAAGGGCAUGCCUGUUUGAGUGUCAUUAAAUUAUCAACCUUGCUCGUUUUUCGAGUAAGGCUUGGAUGUGAGGGCUUGCUGGCUUCCUUCAGUGGAUGGUCUGCUCCCUUCAAAUGCAUUAGUGGGAUCUCUUGUGGACCGUCACUUGGCGUGAUAAUUAUCUAUGCCUCGUCGACUUUGAAGCAAAUUUAUGGGAACCUGCUUAUAACCGUCUCGCAAGGGACAAUAUCUCUGACAUUUUGACCUCAAAUCAGGUAGGACUACCCGCUGAACUUAAGCAUAUCAAUAAGCGGAGGAAAAGAAACUAACAAGGAUUCCCCUAGUAACUGCGAGUGAAGCGGGAAAAGCUCAAAUUUAAAAUCUGGCGGUCCUUGUGGCCGUCCGAGUUGUAAUUUAGAGAAGUGUUAUCCGCGCUGGACCGUGUACAAGUCUCCUGGAAUGGAGCGUCAUAGAGGGUGAGAAUCCCGUCUUUGACACGGACUGCCAGGGCAUUGUGAUGCGCUCUCGAAGAGUCGAGUUGUUUGGGAAUGCAGCUCAAAAUGGGUGGUAAAUUCCAUCUAAAGCUAAAUAUUGGGGAGAGACCGAUAGCGAACAAGUACCGUGAGGGAAAGAUGAAAAGAACUUUGGAAAGAGAGUUAAACAGUACGUGAAAUUGCUGAAAGGGAAACGCUUGAAGUCAGUCGCGUCGUUCAGGACUCAACCUUGCUUUAUUGCUUGGUGUACUUCUUGUUCGACGGGUCAGCAUCAAUUUUGGUCGGUGGAUAAAGGCUUAGAGAAUGUGGCAUCUUCGGGUGUGUUAUAGCUCUGGGUCGCAUACAUCGGCUGGGAUUGAGGAACUCAGCACGCCGCAAGGCCGGGUACUUGUACCACGUACGUGCUUAGGAUGCUGGCAUAAUGGCUUUAAUCGACCCGUCUUGAAACACGG
rnacentral:rRNA from 1 species